rnacentral:lncRNA from 1 species
UCUUUUUUCUUUUAAUGGAAAAAAAAAAGGUUUAUAUUGUAUUUUUUCCAGCUUAUUCAUUUCUUUAUAGUUGUGCAUUUUUCUUUACUGUAAUUGGCUGGAGUAUACAAAGACCUGAAUGAAACAGUGGAGUAUCUAUUACUAGUUAUGAACUUGGUGCUGUCCUCUGCCAGUUCAUCACUCCCUUUUUCUGAACCUGGAUCCAGUUAUGUUGCACUAAGGGGAGGUUGUUUGAUGGAAGCCUGGAAUCAGGAUCGGUUCUGAAAAAGGAGAUUUAUUAGUGAGUAGGGCACAGCAGCAGAGCUAUCGCUCUGACUGGCCAGGGACCCAGGCCCUCGGGUUGCCCUCCUCUUCACUCAGAAAUGUUGCUGUUGGACACAACUGGUCUUGGUGUGCUAGGAAGUUCAGCACAGUCUCUGAGCAAACCUUACUGUGGUUGGUUUUGUUUUGUUUGUAAUUUAAAAAAAAAAAAAAAAAGUAACAAGUUCCCAGAAGGGCUCCUUGUUUUGUGACUUAAGAAAAUCUUCCAAGCAGGAAGGAGCCACCUUGGGCCCCCUUGGGUGCCUGUUCCACAAAAGCUUCCUCAGCACCUUGGAGAGCUCCAGGGCCCCCAUCAGUGGAGGGGCCCAGUUGGGCAGCUCUGUUCACUUCAUUCUGGCUGCAGGUCUCUUCACACUUUUUGUAUAGAACCUAUUUGCUGCUCGGAGCAACAAAGAUGCUCCCCUCGUGCUGGAUGACAAGAGUAGGAUAAUUUACUGAAACCACACUGGUCAGGAAGAUGGCCUUGAUUCAAAAGCCCUGGUGCUCUACCCAUUUGGGUCUGGUCCACAGUGGGGUCUGACUCCUCAUUCCCAAGGCUGCAGAAGAGAAUGUGAGGAGCAGUUUGCUGAAGAGCCCGUGGAAGGAAUGGGGGAUGGUGGACGUGUCUUUGGCAUCCACCUCCCAGAGGUCCAAGAUGGGGCCUCCGAAUGCCUUGUCUUCCUUAAAUAACCCUUGCCGGAUCUGUCGAAUACAAGCUCGCCUAUUUCCUG